CUGGUGUCGAUGACGUCAUGUAAACGGGACCAUGCAGGAAGAGUGGGGGAGUUCGAUUCAGACAGAGCUGUACUCCAGACCGGUCAGGGAAUAUCUCGGGUCUGUUCUGGUCUGCAGUGGCUGAGCAGCUGCUGCAGGUCCCCCAGGAGAGCUGCACUGAGGGGGUGAAGAGGGUCCCUCCUGUGGGUGAAGACCCCUGAGCUCCUGUGGGGGGAGAAGCACGUUAUCAGCGCAGCUGUGAGAGGUAAAUAAAGAGCUUAAGGUCU
rnacentral:lncRNA from 1 species